CGGCAGACGGGAGAGUAACACGUGGGAACGUGCCUAUCGGUUCGGAACAACCCAGGGAAACUUGGGCUAAUACCGGAUACCCCCUUACGGGGAAAGAUUUAUCGCUGAUAGAGCGGCCCGCGUCUGAUUAGCUAGUUGGUGAGGUAACGGCUCACCAAGGCGACGAUCAGCUCUGGUCUGAGAGGAUGAUCGGCCUCGCUGGGACUGAAACACGGCCCAUACUCCUACGGGAGGCAGCGGUGGGGAAUAUUGGACGAUGGGCGCACGCCUGAUCCAACCCUGCCGGGUGGAUGAUGAAUGCCUUAUGGUUGUAAAAUCCUUUCGGGGGGGAAGAUAAUGACGGUACCCGCAGAAUAAGCCCCGGCUAACUUCGUGCCAGCAGCCGCGGUAAUACGAAGGAGGCUAGCGUUGCUCGGAAUCACUGGGCGUAAAGCGCACGUAGGCGGCUUUUUAAGUCUGGGGUGAAAUCCUGGAGCUCAACUCCAUAACUGCCUUUGAUACUGAGAAGCUUGAGUCCGGGAGAGGUGAGUGGAACUGCUGGUGUAGAGGUGAAAUUCGUAGAUAUUCGCAAGAACACCAGUGGCGAAGGCGGCUCACUGGCCCGGUACUGACGCUGAGGUGCGAAAGCGUGGGGAGCAAACGGGAUUAGAUACCCUGGUAGUCCACGCCGUAAACGAUGGAUGCUAGCCGUUGGCAGGCUUGCCUGUCAGUGGCGCAGCUAACGCAUUAAGCAUCCCGCCUGUGGAGUACAGUCGCAAGAUUAAGACUCUCAGGAGUUGACGGGGGGCCGCACAAGCGGUGGAGCAUGUGUGUCUAUUCUCAACACCGCGCAGAACCUUACCAACUUUGACA
rnacentral:rRNA from 1 species